CAGUGUGUGUGUGUGUGUGCCAGUGUGUGUAUCUGUGUGUCAGAUUCAUACACAUUGACACACACAGAUACACACACUGGCACAUACAAACAU